rnacentral:rRNA from 1 species
GACGAACGCUGGCGGCAUGCCUAAUACAUGCAAGUCGAGCGAACAGAUGAAGUGCUUGCACUUCUGACGUUAGCGGCGAACGGGUGAGUAACACGUAAGGAAUCUACCUAUAAGCGGGGGAUAACAUUCGGAAACGGGUGCUAAUACCGCAUAAUAUCUUCUUCCGCAUGGAAGAAGAUUGAAAGACGGCUCUGCUGUCACUUAUAGAUGACCUUGCGGUGCAUUAGUUAGUUGGUGGGGUAAUGGCCUACCAAGACGAUGAUGCAUAGCCGACCUGAGAGGGUGAUCGGCCACAUGGGGACUGAGACACGGCCCAAACUCAUACGGGAGGCAGCAGUAGGGAAUCUUCCGCAAUGGGCGAAAGCCUGACGGAGCAAUGCCGCGUGAGUGAAGAAGGCCUUCGGGUCGUAAAACUCUGUUAUAAGAGAAGAACAAAUUGUAGAGUAACUGCUACAGUCUUGACGGUAUCUUAUCAGAAAGCCACGGCUAACUACGUGCCAGCCGCCGUAAUAC